GCAGCUUUCUUUCUGCACGUUGUCACCGGAUCUGCGGCCCCAAGAAGAAGGGACUCAGGUGUGUACAAAAUAAAGAGGCGGCAGAGGCCAAGCGGGCCUUCUUUCACAGGCGAGGGGAAGGGGGUCCUUCACCCUGGCCCCGGGGUGGGUCGCGGUCCCUGACCUGCGACCUCGCUCUGAAAGAAGGGAAUGCCAGGGAAGGAGCCAGCGACGUGUCUGAGCAGAGCCAGAAGCGCACAAGACCCUGCAGGCAAUCAAAGACUCGGCACACUUUUCAAAUAGAACUUAAGAUGACAAAGGAGACUCCAGCCAGCCAGUCACAUGACUUGACUCCAAUCAUCUCUUCAAGAUUUCAACUUGAGUCACCCACCUGAGCACAAUUACUCUGCCGGAGCUCUGCUCAACUUUGGACCCGAGUCGAGUUGGCGUGGACAUUAUCGUGUUCUCCCAUCUCUGCUUUUCAUCAAGAUCAUCCCGCUAGCGCUCUAUCCUGGCUCUCCAUCCUGGAGAACAAAAGGCAUGUCAAUCAUGAAAACACAACAUUGAUUUUGCAUCAUAACAUUUGGUGGGGCUAUCUACCAUGAAAAGACCUACAAAAAAAAGCAACAUUAAUAUCGGGAGACGUGCAUUUAAUGACUGUUUGAAAGUAAAAUAAUUUGUUGUCCUUUUUUUUUUUUAGAUCGCUGUUAAUCUAAUGACAAAAAGUCAAAAACGGCGCUGAAAUCACAUGACACUACCGAGCCACAUGACACCGUCCAUACUGAUCCUUCAUGUUUUUUUUUCCCCUCCUGAUUGCUUUAAAGAAUAUAUAUGACCAAAAAUAAAAAGCAACGCCAAAAGAAAGGCGGGCGGUUACCUCAACAUUUGGCAGGCGCUCUAAUUAAAACCAAACUUGUUUCCUUCAGUGAACAAACAUGACAGGCUUUAUUUUUUUCUUCUUUCCCCCUCGCAGCUAAAUAUAAGUGGCUGCAGGUGCUGCAGGAAUGCCUCCAAACGUGUACGCCGUUUAUUUAUGUAUUUGUGCAUGUGCUUCCUCUUUGCACACUCGAGUUGCACGUCAAACGAGUCGCCAUUUGUCUUUGCGGCGCUCAAGACAAGCUAAUGAUUGCUGCUUUUUGGGGAUAAGGAAUUGGGAGCAGCCGGUCCGGGGUGGGUAUUUGGGGCUUCUAAGCAGGACCAGAUGCAAAGGGGGUCUCUCUCCAGCUCCUGGUGGGAGAGUCGGUAGCCCUGUUGGAUCCGAGCAGAUUUGUGAGAAGUAAACGCUUCCCUCAAAUAGACGCCAGAGAUAACCUGUCAUUUUUUUUUAGAUGCUAUUCUUCCCACAAGAAAUGAAAUAUUCAAGUCUCACCGCGUGGCCGUCAAAGUACCAAGUGAGGCGCAAAAUGGCAGCCGCCCCAAUGUGUUUUCACACGCCGUUGAGCCUGUUGAAUAAACGCACACGACAAGUUGAUGAUUCAGAAAAAAAUGGGCAUCAUUAAUCGAGCGACUUCCUGGAAGUUGUGCAGGGAAUGCAGGUGGGGCCGACUAUUUUGGCAUCUUUCCGAAAGGUCACACGGAGAGGCCAAGCAGGUGAACAGCCCGAGGACAUCGUCAGGCCCGAUGAGGCAUCUUGGACCGGCACGAAGAAGUUUAACAUGCUCCGAAUAGCAGCCAUAACUCAACAGCUCACGCGACACAUCAAGUAGCUUAUUUUGCAUUUACAACAUGAUGUAAAACAACAUAGAUCAUCUUUAUAUAUGUGGGCAGUGCACUGCAUCAUCU